AUUGAACGCUGGCGGCAGGCCUAACACAUGCAAGUCGAGCGGAUGAGAAGAGCUUGCUCUUCGAUUCAGCGGCGGACGGGUGAGUAAUGCCUAGGAAUCUGCCUGGUAGUGGGGGACAACGUUUCGAAAGGAACGCUAAUACCGCAUACGUCCUACGGGAGAAAGCAGGGGACCUUCGGGCCUUGCGCUAUCAGAUGAGCCUAGGUCGGAUUAGCUAGUUGGUUAGGUAAUGGCUCACCAAGGCGACGAUCCGUAACCGGUCUGAGAGGAUGAUCAGUCACACUGGAACUGAGACACGGUCCAGACUCCUACGGGAGGCAGCAGUGGGGAAUAUUGGACAAUGGGCGAAAGCCUGAUCCAGCCAUGCCGCGUGUGUGAAGAAGGUCUUCGGAUUGUAAAGCACUUUAAGUUGGGAGGAAGGGCAGUAAGUUAAUACCUUGCUGUUUUGACGUUACCGACAGAAUAAGCACCGGCUAACUCUGUGCCAGCCGCCGCCGUAACAC
rnacentral:rRNA from 1 species